AACGAACGCUGGCGGCAUGCCUAACACAUGCAAGUCGAACGAGACCUUCGGGUCUAGUGGCGCACGGGUGCGUAACGCGUGGGAACCUGCCCUUAGGUUCGGAAUAACUCCCCGAAAGGGGUGCUAAUACCGGAUAAUGUCUUCGGACCAAAGAUUUAUCGCCUUUGGAUGGGCCCGCGUUGGAUUAGCUAGUUGGUAGGGUAAAAGCCUACCAAGGCGACGAUCCAUAGCUGGUCUGAGAGGAUGAUCAGCCACACUGGGACUGAGACACGGCCCAGACUCCUACGGGAGGCAGGAGUGGGGAAUAGUGGACAGUGGGCGAAAGCCUGAUCCAGCUAUGCCGCGUGAGUGAUGAAGGCCUUAGGGUUGUAAAGCUCUUUUACCCGUGAUGAUAAUGACAGUACCGGGAGAAUAAGCUCCGGCUAACUCCGUG
rnacentral:rRNA from 1 species